GCAAAGCUUCUUCCGUUUGGUCUUCGUUUACGUCUUCCGUCUGUCUCGAAGCUCCCGCCGCCUUCCACAGCACGGGUCGGUGUCUCUGCCUGUCCAAAUGGCUGAGUGAAACUCCCUCAGGGCCACCUCAGACACUUCGAUAAACCUUUCCGGGACCUGGAAAUAGCAAGAGAGAAAGGAAAGCAAAUCUGUACCCGGCUGGCACAGUGUGUCAUCAUGCUCGAAUGCUGCUGCUGCUGCUGCUACUGAUGUCCACUUGAUGACUCUGCCCCGCCCAUGUUGGCCUCAUCAACGAUGUACAAACAGGAAGAGAUAGGCAACUCACCGAAAGCCCUCAGUUGUCAUGGAACCAAGGCUGGAGAACAAAAGAUGGACGCGGCUAUGGGUGAGUUUAUGGGGCUUUGGAGAGGGUGGGGGGGGGUAGAGAGAUGGGGAUGUGGAUGAGGCUGACAUGGAAGCAGGCAGUCAAUUAAUAUUAAUAGGAAUAAUUGGGAGGGGGGGAUGCAUGCAGAGGGAGGACGGCAGGAGAUAACAAGGUCAAUGAUGGCUGCAUCUGAUCUAAAUAACAAAGGACCGCGCACUGUGAGCGUGUGUGCGUGCGCGCGAGAAAUGCAAUUGAUGGCUAAAACAGUCCCCUAAAAAGGCGCAAAUGGCUCACAGAAAAGUACAGCCUGGAGCCUAAAAUUGUGCGUCAUUUCUCUCAGGUCUCCGAUUAUGUAAGCUACUCAAACACUAUCCCUCUCAUCCAUCCAUGUGCACAUGCAGCCACUUUCGUCGGAGCUUAUGAAUACAGCGUCCAAGAGUGAGAGGUACAGUAUAACAACAAUUUGAAAAAAAAAAAAAAACAGGGGAGGGGGGGUAUAAAAGGAUCAAUAGAUGGCAUAAAGUGUAUGUGCAUUGAUUUACUCACAGGGGAGCGCAAUGGGGUUGAUGGAAACAUGGGAGGGGAGCAGGAAAUUGCAAGAAAACAGGAUUAAGGUCAUUUUUCAUCCAUUAUCUAAAAGCAAUCCACAACAUAUGCUUCUGUGGUUGCUACCUGCCUGGACUUUAGACCAUUUGCUUUGUCCUACAUGCAUGAUGGAUGACACACAAAAACACCACCUUGUUUCUGCAGCUGAGCCCCUCACAUUACCUCACAUUACUUUCGUGUGGCUAAAUAGCACUCGUCGCGCUUAUUGACUGGUUGCCUGCAUUUAUAUCCAACCUUACGCAUGAUGAGAGUCCAAUGUCACACAUGAGAACGGGCAGCAGAAAAAGCACAAGUACUGGGUCCGAGUUUAAUCCGUUCCGUGGCCACGCGCUUACCUCAACAUGCGCAAAUCAUCUUUCCCCAUUGAAAUGAAGGUAAAUGCCUUUAAUCUGUUCCAUUCUCCCAAAACAAUAACAACAACAAAAACACUGUAAUGUGUUUUUUUUUUAAACAAAGAAAAAUGGCACUGUACAAUACUUGACCUUAAUAAAAGCAUUCAGUAAUGGCAGAACUAAAUACAAUGUAAAGAGUUAGCCAGCCACAAUUUUUGCUUCAUUUCGAUGGACAUUAGGCUGUUCCUCUUAGUGUGCACCCCUUGGCCACCUGGGGGCAGGAUAAUACAAACAUGGAUACAUGGAGAGGGAGACUGAUAGAAAUUCUCAGUAAGCUGCAGUAUUUUUUUUUCAGCACAGCAUUCAGAAUAUAUGUCUGAGUAUUGUUAUGUUGUCAGACUAUCUGUGUUGCUGCACUGUUUGUUCAUAAUUCUAUUCUUUUAAGUGGUACACAUAGCUGCUACUUGUUACCCUGUCUGUCUUCCUCUGUGUUUUGUGUGUUAGCAUUAAGCUAGCGGACUUA